GGUUCGAUCAUGGCUCAGAUUGAACGCUGGCGGGCGCCAUACAUGCAAGUCGAACGGCAGCACGGACUUCGGUCUGGUGGCGAGUGGCGAACGUUAGUAAUGUAUCGGAACGUGCCUAGUAUGGGGAUAACUACGCGAAAGCGUAGCCAAUACCGUACACGCCCUUCGGGGGAAAGUGACCUUCGGGCCUCGCACUAUUAGAGCGGCCGAUAUCGGAUUAGCUAGUUGGUGGGGUAACGGCUCACCAAAGGCGACGAUCCGUAGCUGGUUUGAGAGGACGACCACACUGGGACUGAGACACGGCCCAGACUCCUACGGGAGGCAGCAGUGGGGAAUUUUGACAAUGGGGAAACCCUGAUCCACAUCCGCGUGCGAUGGCUGGCCUUGGGUUGUAAAGCACUUUGGCAGGAAGAAACGGCACGGGAUAAUACCCCGUGCAACUGACGGUACCCGGUAGAAUAAGCACCGGCUAACUACGUGCCACAGCCGCGGUAAUACGUAGGGUGCAAGUGCCGUGACCAAUCAUUUAAUGCAAAGCGUGCAGGCGGUUCGGAAAGAAAAUACGGGAAACUUGUGAGCUUAACUUUGAACUGCAUUUUAACUACCGAGCUAGAGGUGUCAGAGGGAGGUGGAAUUCCGCGUAGCAGUGAAAUGCGUAGAUAUGCGGAGGAACACCGAUGGCGAAGGCACUUCCUGGGAUAACACUGACGCUCAUGCACGAAAGCGUGGGGAGCAAACAGGAUUAGAUACCCUGGUAGUCCACGCCCUAAACGAUGUCAACUAGCCGUUGGGGCCUUUCGGCCUUGGUAGCGCAGCUAACGCGUGAAGUUGACCGCCUGGGGAGUACGGUCGCAAGAUUAAAACUCAAAGGAAUUGACGGGACCCGCACAAGCGGUGGAUGAUGUGGAUUAAUUCGAUGCAACGCGAAAAACUCCAAUACCUACCUCGAUGAUGUCUGAAUCCGAAGAGAUUUGGGAGUGCUCGCAAGAGAACCGAACACAGGUGCUGCAUGGCUGUCGUCAGCUCGUGUCGUGAGAUGCUGGGUUAAGUCCCAACGAGCGCAACCCUUGUCAUUAGUUGCUACGAAAGGGCACUUCAAUGAGACUGCCGGCGACAAACCGAGAAGGUGGGGAUGACGUCAAGUCCCUCAUGGCCCUUAUGGGUAGGGCUUCACACGUCAUACAAUGGUCGGGACAGGGUCGCCAACCCGCGAGGGGGAGCCAAUCCCAGAAACCCGAUCGUAGUCCGGAUCGCAGUAGUCUGCAACUCGACUGCGUGAAGUCGGAAUCGCUAGUAAUCGCGGAUCAGCGCAUGUCGCGGUGAAUACGUUCCCGGGUCUUGUACACACCGCCCGUCACACCAUGGGAGUGGGUUUUACCAGAUAGUUAGCCUAACCGUAAGGAGGGCGAUUACCACGGUAGGAUCUAUGACUGGUGAAGUCGUAACAAGGUAG
rnacentral:rRNA from 1 species